rnacentral:lncRNA from 12 species
GGCUCCUAUGUUCUGUCUUAUGUCUGUUUCUCUUUUUGUUCUUUUAGCACUUCCAAGACUUUGCAACUAGUUUCUUGGAUUGAAUCUGCUAUAUUUGAAAUAGUAAUAUGCAUCCUGUUUCCUGACAGACUCUGACUGAUGCACAUGGAAACUUGGUGAGGCUUUUCUUUUCAUGGAAUGCUGCUUUCUCCACUGCUGUUGCCACUCCAGGGAUUUUAUUUGCUUCAAGCAGCUGUAUAGUUCAUGAAGAUGAUAUAGUUUAUGUCUUAUUAUUGCUUAGCAUAGGGCUGUGCACAAAGGAGGGCCUUAGGAAAUACUAGUGAUUCCAUAUGGAGUCUUAGCUAACAGUCCCCAUGCCAAACUUAUACGAGAAUGCUCUUCUCCACCCUUUGAAAUUAAACACUGAGUCACACAAGUAGACACUU